UACGUAGGGUGCAAGCGUUGUCCGGAAUUAUUGGGCGUAAAGAGCUCGUAGGCGGUUUGUCGCGUCUGCUGUGAAAACGCGAGGCUCAACCUCGCGCCUGCAGUGGGUACGGGCAGACUAGAGUGCGGUAGGGGAGAUUGGAAUUCCUGGUGUAGCGGUGGAAUGCGCAGAUAUCAGGAGGAACACCGAUGGCGAAGGCGGUAUCUGGGCCGAUACUGACGCUGAGGAGGCGAAAGCGUGGGGAGCGAACAGG
rnacentral:rRNA from 1 species